UACGUAGGGAGCAAGCGUUGUCCGGAAUCAUUGGGCGUAAAGCGCGCGUAGGCGGCCUUGUAAGUCCGUUGUGAAAGUCAAAGGCUCAACCUUUGAAAGCCGAUGAAUACUGCAAGGCUGGAGUCCGGAAGAGGCGAGUGGAAUUCCUGGUGUAGCGGUGGAAUGCGCAGAUAUCAGGAGGAACACCAAUAGCGAAGGCAGCUCGCUGGGACGGUACUGACGCUAAGGCGCGAAAGCGUGGGGAGCGAACAGG
rnacentral:rRNA from 1 species